CCUACGGGAGGCAGCAGUGAGGAAUAUUGGUCAAUGGGCGCGAGCCUGAACCAGCGAAGCAGCGUGAAGGAUGACUGCUCUACGGGUUGUAAACUUCUUUUAUAAAGGAAUAAAUUGAGGCACGUGUGCCUUAUUGUAUGUACUUGAUGAAUAAGGAUCGCCUAACUCCGUGCCAGCAGCCGAGGUAAUACGGAGGAUCCGAGCGUUAUCCGGAUUUAUUGGGUUUAAAGGGAGCGUAGAUGGGUUGUUAAGUCAGUUGUGAAAGUUUGUGGCUCAACCGUAAAAUUGCAAUUGAUACUGGCAGUCUUGAGUAAAGUUGAGGUAGGCGGAAUUCGUGGUGUAGCGGUGAAAUGCUUAG
rnacentral:rRNA from 1 species